UGAAUGACUCUCGACAAUGGAUAUCUUGGCUCUUGCAUCGAUGAAGAGCGCAGCGAAAUGCGAUACAUGAUGUGAAUUGCAGAAUCCCGUGAACCAUCGAGUUUUUGAACGCAAGUUGCGCCCGAGGCCAAUUGGUUGAGGGCACGCCCGCCUGGGCGUCAAGC
rnacentral:rRNA from 1 species